rnacentral:rRNA from 1 species
UGGGGAAUAUUGCACAAUGGGCGCAAGCCUGAUGCAGCGACGCCGCGUGAGGGAUGGAGGCCUUCGGGUUGUAAACCUCUUUCGCCAGUGAAGCAGGCCAUCUUCUUUGUGGGGUGGUUGACGGUAGCUGGAUAAGAAGCGCCGGCUAACUACGUGCCAGCAGCCGCGGUAAUACGUAGGGCGCGAGCGUUGUCCGGAAUUAUUGGGCGUAAAGAGCUCGUAGGCAGCUGGUCGCGUCUGUCGUGAAAUCCCCUGGCUUAACUGGGGGCUUGCGGUGGGUACGGGCCGGCUUGAGUGCGGUAGGGGAGACUGGAAUUCCUGGUGUAGCGGUGGAAUGCGCAGAUAUCAGGAGGAACACCGGUGGCGAAGGCGGGUCUCUGGGCCGUUACUGACGCUGAGGAGCGAAAGCGUGGGGAGCGAACAGG